CACGUAGGGUGCGAGCGUUGUCCGGAAUUAUUGGGCGUAAAGAGCUCGUAGGCGGUGUGUCGCGUCGGCCGUGAAAACCUGCAGCUUAACUGUGGGCUUGCGGUCGAUACGGGCAUCACUGGAGUUCGGCAGGGGAGACUGGAAUUCCUGGUGUAGCGGUGAAAUGCGCAGAUAUCAGGAGGAACACCAACGGCGAAGGCAGCGCUCUGGGCCGGAACUGACGCUGAGGAGCGAAAGCGUGGGUAGCGAACAGG
rnacentral:rRNA from 1 species